rnacentral:rRNA from 1 species
AGACCGAUAGCGAACAAGUAGAGUGAUCGAAAGAUGAAAAGCACUUUGAAAAGAGAGUUAAACAGCACGUGAAAUUGUUGAAAGGGAAGCGCUUGCGACCAGACUUGUGCUCGUCGAAUCAGCCGUCGCUCGUCGGCGGCGCAUUUCGGCGGGCUCAGGCCAGCAUCAGUUCGCUGUGGGGGAGAAAGGCGGUAGGAAUGUGGCUCCUCGGAGUGUUAUAGCCUACCGUAUAAUACCCCUCGGCGGACUGAGGACCGCGCAUCUGCAAGGAUGCUGGCGUAAUGGUUGUCAGCGACCCGUCUUGAAACACGGACCAAGA